rnacentral:rRNA from 1 species
UACAGAGGUGGCGAGCGUUGUUCGGAAUUAUUGGGCGUAAAGCGCAUGUAGGCGGCCUGUUAAGUCGCGUGUGAAAGGCUCCACGGCUCAACCUGGAAAGUGCGCGCGAAACUAGCGGGCUUGAAUGCUGGAGAGGGUGGCGGAAUUCCCGGAUGUAGAGGUGAAAUUCGUAGAUAUACGGGAGGAACACCAGAGGGCGAAGGCGGCCACCUGGACAGACAUUGACGCUGAGACGCGGAAAGCGUGGGGAG